rnacentral:rRNA from 1 species
UGCGCAGGCGGCGGCUCAAGUCAGGUGUGAAAUCCCCGGGCUUAACCUGGGAAUUGCGCUUGAAACUAGGUUGCUUGAGUGUGGCAGAGGGGGGUGGAAUUCCACGUGUAGCAGUGAAAUGCGUAGAGAUGUGGAGGAACACCGAUGGCGAAGGCAGCCCCCUGGGUCAACACUGACGCUCAGGCACGAAAGCGUGGGGAGCAAACAGGAUUAGAUACCCUGGUAGUCCACGCCCUAAACGAUGUCGACUAGGUGUUGGGGAAGGAGACUUCCUUAGUACCGCAGCUAACGCGUGAAGUCGACCGCCUGGGGAGUACGGUCGCAAGAUUAAA